rnacentral:rRNA from 1 species
AUUGAACGCUGGCGGCAGGCCUAACACAUGCAAGUCGAGCGAGCGGCGGACGGGUGAGUAAUGUAUGGGGAUCUGACCGAGAGAGGGGGAUCACUACUGGAAACGGUUGCUACUACCGCAUACUAUCGGAUGAACCCAUUUGGGAUUAGGUAGUAGGUGGGGAAAAGGCUCACCUAGGCGACGAUCUCUAGCGGGUCUGAGAGGAUGAUCAGCCACACUGGGACUGAGACACGGUCCAGACGCCUACGGGAGGCAGCAGUGGGGAAUAUUGCACAAUGGGCGAAAGCCUGAUGCAGCCAUGCCGCGUGUAUGAAGAAGGCCUUAGGGUUGUAAAGUACUUUCAGCGGGGAGGCGUUACCCGCAGAAGAAGCACCGGCUAACUCCGUGCCAGCAGCCGCGGUAAUUC